UAUGGUGGUUUUGCCAAGGGUGUUCACCUCUUCCCAUUCCGAACAGAGAAGUUAAGCCCCUUAUGGCCGAUGGUACUGCACAAUCAUGCGGGAGAGUAGGUAGCUGCCAUAU
rfam:Chitinophaga pinensis DSM 2588, complete genome.